CUUAAGUCACCAGUGCUAUUACACAUGACAUUGGGAAAACUGAGGCUUCCAUUAGCCCUGCAGGGACACAGUUGGGAUCUUCACACCUAGCCAUCUUCUCUACUGUUUUGAAAAAUUAUUGCAAAAGUUUUCAAACAUGCAAAAGGAUAUAAUAUAAUGAACACCUAGACCCAUCACUCAGCACCUCAUUGGAAGUUACCAAGAUUGUAAUCUGUUACUUUUCCCUACCCCACCCUCCAUUUUUUUUCUUUUACUUUUCUCUUUUUUUGAGACCGAGUCGCACUCUGUUGCUCAAAUUAGAGUGCAGGAGUGCAAUUCCAGCCUGGGCAACAAGAGCAAAACUCCAUCUCAAUCAAUCAAUCAAUCAAUCAAUCAAUAACAAAUCUCAGACCACAUGUUGUUUUAGCCUAUUUCAGUUUGCAUUUCUAAAAAUUAUGGAUAAUUUUCUCAUAUAAACACAGUCUAUUAUCACUUCCCAACUCCCCCUUCGAAUUAAUAAUUCCCGAAGAUCCAAUGCCCAGUCUCUAACCACAUUUCCAUGACUCAAGUGUCUUUUGUAUAGCUGGUGGGUUUCAAUCCAGAUCUAACCAAGAUCCACACAUUCAUCUGAUAGCGCUAUCUCUUAAAUCUCUUCUCAUCGAGAGCACCUGACU
rnacentral:antisense_RNA from 1 species